GAAGAAAGGGAACAUGGCUCAGGGUUGAUUUAUGGGCACAGGGUUUGAGUAGGAUGCAGGGAGCCCCACCCUAGGCCCACAGUGUUGGAGCAAAGGACUUUACUACAACUUGGAGGAAGAGGUCAUUGUACACCUUGAAGCCAGAGAGCUGGAAGCCAGUUGCAGAGCAGCUGCCCAGGUCAGAAGGCGGGAGUACAGGAUGGAGAGUUGAGGGCAGGGGCAAAGAGGAGGUGUCCUGCACAGAGAAAGGACUUCAGGCAUUUGACACUGGCUUGAGACAUUGAAGAUGAUCACAGGGUAGGUCUUGUGAGAUGGGUGGGCUGAAACAUGAUGAAUGCACAACAAAAUAGUUUGAGUCCAUGCCUCUUUAAUUCCAUACAUUUGUGAGUGUCAGUUCUGG